GCACUCACUUCAGCAGCACAUGUAAGAAAAUUGGAAUGACAGAAAAUUGGCAUGGCCACUGUACAAGGAUGACAUGCAAAUUCAUGAAGUAUUCAAUAUUUUU